CUUCGGGGACAUUGGUGACAGGUGGUGCAUGGUUGUCGUCAGCUCGUGUCGUGAGAUGUUGGGUUAAGUCCCGCAACGAGCGCAACCCUUGUCUUUAGUUGCCAUCAUUAAGUUGGGCACUCUAGAGAGACUGCCAGGGAUAACCUGGAGGAAGGUGGGGAUGACGUCAAAUCAUCAUGCCCCUUAUGCUUAGGGCUACACACGUGCUACAAUGGGUAGUACAGAGGGUUGCCAAGCCGUAAGGUGAAGCUAAUCCCUUAAAGCUACUCUCAGUUCGGAUUGUAGGCUGAAACUCGCCUACAUGAAGCUGGAGUUACUAGUAAUCGCAGAUCAGAAUGCUGCGGUGAAUGCGUUCCCGGGUAUUGUACACACAGCCCGUCACACCACGGGAGUUGGAGACGACCGAAGCCGAUUAUCUAACCUUUUGGAAGAAGAAGUUGAAGGUGGAAUCAAUAACUGGGGUGAAGUCGUAACAAGGUAGCCGUAUCGGAAGGUGCGGCUGGAUCACCUCCUUUCUAAGGA
rnacentral:rRNA from 1 species